rnacentral:rRNA from 1 species
ACGGGAGGCAGCAGUGGGGAAUAUUGCACAAUGGGGAAACCCUGAUGCAGCGACGCCGCGUGAGUGAUGAAGUAUUUCGGUACGUAAAGCUCUAUCAGCAGGGAAGAUAAUGACGGUACCUGAAUAAGAAGCCCCGGCUAACUACGUGCCAGCAGCCGCGGUAAUACGUAGGGGGCAAGCGUUAUCCGGAUUUACUGGGUGUAAAGGGAGUGUAGGUGGUCUGGCAAGUCAGAUGUGAAAGCCCGCGGCUCAACUGCGGGACUGCAUUUGAAACUGUCAGACUGGAGUGCAGGAGAGGAAAGUGGAAUUCCUAGUGUAGCGGUGAAAUGCGUAGAUAUUAGGAAGAACACCAGUGGCGAAGGCGGCUUUCUGGACUGUAACUGACACUGAGGCUCGAAAGCGUGGGGAGCAAACAGGAUUAGAUACCCUGGUA